rnacentral:rRNA from 1 species
UAGGGAAUCUUCCGCAAUGGACGCAAGUCUGACGGAGCAACGCCGCGUGAGUGAAGAAGGAUUUCGGUUCGUAAAACUCUGUUGUUAGAGAAGAACAGCGCAUAGAGUAACUGUUAUGCGUGUGACGGUAUCUAACCAGAAAGCCACGGCUAACUACGUGCCAGCAGCCGCGGUAAUACAGAGGGUGCGAGCGUUAAUCGGAUUUACUGGGCGUAAAGCGUGCGUAGGCGGCUUCUUAAGUCGGAUGUGAAAUCCCUGAGCUUAACUUAGGAAUUGCAUUCGAUACUGGGAAGCUAGAGUAUGGGAGAGGAUGGUAGAAUUCCAGGUGUAGCGGUGAAAUGCGUAGAGAUCUGGAGGAAUACCGAUGGCGAAGGCAGCCAUCUGGCCUAAUACUGACGCUGAGGUACGAAAGCAUGGGGAGCAAACAGG